rnacentral:rRNA from 1 species
UACGGAGGGUGCGAGCGUUGUCCGGAAUCACUGGGCGUAAAGGGCGCGUAGGCGGCGCGGGGAGUCAACGGUGAAAGCUCGGCGCUCAACGCCGAGUCGGCCGUCGAUACUCCCCGUGCUCGAGCACUGUAGAGGCAGGUGGAAUUCCGGGUGUAGCGGUGGAAUGGCGUAGAGAUCCGGAAGAACACCGGUGGCGAAGGCGGCCUGACUGG